rnacentral:rRNA from 1 species
UACGGGGGGAGCAAGCGUUGUUCGGAUUUACUGGGCGUAAAGGGCGCGUAGGCGGCCACCGCAAGUCAGUUGUGAAAUCUCCGGGCUUAACCCGGAAAGGUCAGCCGAUACUGCGGGGCUAGAGUGCAGAAGGGGCAACUGGAAUUCUCGGUGUAGCGGUGAAAUGCGUAGAUAUCGAGAGGAACACCUGCGGCGAAGGCGGGUUGCUGGGCUGACACUGACGCUGAGGCGCGAAAGCUAGGGGAGCGAACGGG